rnacentral:rRNA from 1 species
UGGGGAACUUUGGACAAUGGGCGAAAGCCUGAUCCAGCAAUGCCGCGUGUGUGAAGAAGGCCUUCGGGUUGUAAAGCACUUUUGUCCGGAAAGAAAUCCUUGGCUCUAAUACAGUCGGGGGAUGACGGUACCGGAAGAAUAAGCACCGGCUAACUACGUGCCAGCAGCCGCGGUAAUACGUAGGGUGCAAGCGUUAAUCGGAAUUACUGGGCGUAAAGCGUGCGCAGGCGGUUUGCUAAGACCGAUGUGAAAUCCCCGGGCUCAACCUGGGAACUGCAUUGGUGACUGGCAGGCUAGAGUAUGGCAGAGGGGGGUAGAAUUCCACGUGUAGCAGUGAAAUGCGUAGAGAUGUGGAGGAAUACCGAUGGCGAAGGCAGCCCCCUGGGCCAAUACUGACGCUCAUGCACGAAAGCGUGGGGAGCAAACAGGAUUAGAUACCCUGGUAGUCCACGCCCUAAACGAUGUCAACUAGUU